rnacentral:rRNA from 1 species
UACGUAGGGUCCAAGCGUUAUCCGGAGUUACUGGGCGUAAAGCGCACGUAGGCGGAUUUGUAAGUCAGGGGGGAAAUCCCGGGGCUCAACCUCGGAACUGCCUUUGAUACUGCAAAUCUCGAGUCCGGAAGAGGUGAGUGGAAUUCCUAGUGUAGAGGUGAAAUUCGUAGAUAUUAGGAAGAACACCAGUGGCGAAGGCGGCUCACUGGUCCGGUACUGACGCUGAGGUGCGAAAGCGUGGGGAGCAAACAGG